rnacentral:lncRNA from 1 species
GGGAAUGCUAGACGUUUGGUAAUUUCUCCUCCGGCCAAGAUAAAAGAUCCCAUUGAAGCUGGAUCACCUCCUUUUCAGGGAGAGCUAAUGUUUGUUGGGUAUUUUGGUUUGACACUGCUUCACACCCAAAAAGAAGGGAGCUACGUCUGAGUGAAACUUGGGAAAUUGAACAAAAAGCUGCCGAAUUGGCCUAUUUCUUGCGUGUACCGAUUGAAGUCUUUUGAUAGAAUGAUAGAAAAGAAUAUUCAUUACUUAAAUGAAGCGGUUCUUUCGGGCAUUCAUCGAAAGGAGAUACUUGCUUUGAAUUUGACUAAUUGCGAUAUUUGGAAACAAUAUUUUUUUGAUUAUUUCUUCAUUCGAAGUGGAUUCUUAAUCUAUUUUAGUUUACUAGAGUUAUCAACAUAUUAUUUUAGCCCGGUGGAAACAAAACCUUUUUCUUAAGGAUCCUUUUUCAAAUAGAAAUAGAGAACGAAGUAACUAGAAAGGUUGUCAUAAUCACCUUCUUCUAGAGGGAUCAUCUAAAAAGCGAGUCUAUUAAAUAUCCGUUCAAACUAGUAUUUGGGUGUUUUGCUUGAGCUGUAUGAGAUGAAAGUCUCAUAUACGGUUCUCGGAGGGGGAGUCCCACCUAUCUUAAUAAAGUCUAUGAUUGGUUUAAAGAACGUCUCGAGAUUCAGGCAAUUGCGAAUAAUAUAACUAGUAAAUACGUUCCUCCUCAUGUUAACAUAUUUUAUUGUCUAGGAGGUAUUACGCUUACUUAUUUUUUAGGAUGCUUUACGCCCAAUCAUUCCGGAUAACGCUUGCAUCCUCUAUAUUACCGCGGCUGCUGGCACAGAGUUAGCCGAUGCUUAUUCCCCAGAUACCGUCAUUGCUUCUUCUCCGGGAAAAGAAGUUCAUGACCCGUGGGCCUUCUACCUCUAUGCGGCAUUGCUCCGUCAGGCUUUCGCCCAUUGCGGAAAAUUCCCCACUGCUGCCUCCCGUAGGAGUCUGGGCCGUGUCUCAGUCCCAGUGAGGCUGAUCAUCCUCUCGGACCAGCUACUCCGUACAUACCCGUUCCUGAUAUUUCCUAUGAUGCAAUUGAAGCUUAUCAGCAGAAACGAAUCAAUUUAGAUAGUCCUUUGUGGCUUCGGUGGCGACUAGAUCAACACGUUAUUUCUGCAUAAAAAUGACAUUUCCAUAAAUUAACAAAGUAAUAUGUCCAUUUUUCAUCAAAAGGGCAUCCCUUUUGAAGCGAGAAUUGAUUUUCCUUGAUACCUAACAUAAUGCAUGAAAGGAUCCUUCAACAACAAUAGAUUGGCUUGAAAAGCCUUAACAAAGACUUUUACAAGAUAUUUUAUUUUUCCAUAGAAAUAGAUUCGUUCAAGAAGGGUUCCAGAAGAUGUUGAGUGUAAAUGAGAAGAUUGGUUACGGAGAAAGAUGAAGAUGGAUUCGUAUUCACAUAAUCUCGGUAGCUACGCCACCCACAGAAUUUAAAGAACCUAAAGGAGCGUGGGUCAUAUAUUCUGCAGAACGCCGUUGUUUCACUCCGAUAGUUUUAUAGAUCGUGUCAAUGCAGAGGAAAUGAAUGCUUUUCCAUACUAUUAAAUCUUAAGUAAGUGAACUAGAUAAACCAGAAUCUUGAUUAUGGUUUAUCUAGUUCACUUAUUCUACUGGAUCGACUUGGAAAAUGGAAAGAUUUGUACAAGUUAUACGUUUCGUCACCACCACUUUGUGGAAAAUCGUUAGGUAUGAAUAUGUUAGAUACCUGUGACUUGAUUGGUGAAAUAGUAUCUCUCUGCAGAAUAUAUGACCCAUGCUCCUUUAGGUUCUUUAAAUUCUGUGGGUGGCGUAGCUACCGAGAUCAAUGCAGUAAAUUAUGUCUCUCCUAGAAGUUGGUUAGCUACUUCUCAUUUUGUUCUAGGAUUCUUCUUAUUCGUAGGUCAUUUGUGGCACGCGGGAAGGGAUUCCUGGGUGUAGUGCUUCUUCCCCUUUGCAUCCUAUUGGUACAAAUCUGGAUCAAUACCAGUAAAAACAUCUCUGAACAAGGUUCUAGCACCAUGCCAAAUAUGUCCAAAAAAGAAGAGCAAAGCAAAAGAAGCAUGUCCAAAAGUAAACCAACCCCUCGGACUGCUACGAAAAACACCAUCAGAUUUCAAAGAUAUUUCUAGUGGAACAUCUUUCACAAUCCCUGGAGAGAUGGUUCACUAAUAGACCGAGGGAGAAGUAAUUCGACUCAUUCACAUCCAGAUCAUGAAUGUUUGGAAUCCAUAUUAUGCAAGGAGACAUUGCUUUUGCUAAUUCGAAUUGAAUUUUAGACCAAGCUUCUGAUAAACUUUGAUUUUCGGCUAGCCCAGCACUAACUCUUCGAUAUAUCUCUUGCUGGAAGUACCACUGAUCCCAUUGAUAACGAGUAGGCCCAAAUAAUUCGAUCGGGGUAGUUGCUGAACCAUAAUGCUUGAUUCAAGAGCAAUUCCCAAUUAAUAAGACUCCCUUUUGAUAUAAAAGAGUGAGGUUUUUACUUGAAAGGUUGUCAUAAUCACCUUCUUCUAGAGGGAUCAUCUAAAAAGCGAGUCGUUUUGAAUGUAUUCAUACAAAAAGCUGACAUAGAUGUUAUGGGUAGAAUUUUUUGUAAUUUAGUUCACAUCUUAGAUCUAGGAAUUUAUCCCUCUGGAUUUGAAAUCACUGCUUAUAUACCCGGUAUUGGCCAUAAUUCAUAAGAACAUUCUGUAGUCUUAGUAAGAGGAGGAAGGGUUAAGGAUUUACCCGGUGUGAGAUAUCACAUUGUUCGAGGAACCCUAGAUGCUGUCGGAGUAAAGGAUCGUCAACAAG